UGGCUCAGAUGGUAAAGCAUCUGCCUGCAAUGCAGGAGACCCGGGUUCAGUCCCUGG
rnacentral:tRNA from 1 species